rnacentral:lncRNA from 1 species
UCGAAAAGCCUUGACGAGCCAGGAGGCUCAUGGGCCGCGAGCUCUAGCGUAGUAAAAAGAAGGAAGAAACAAAAAUUGAAGAAGAAAAAAGGGGUCAUGAACCCCAUUUGCGAGCGAGAACAGUAACUAAAGUAAGGCUUACUACUCGGCUACAGCGUGCGUCGCUUCAUCCAGAUGUUGUGUACGAUCUGCAUAAGUCUGCGCUGAAUAUCUAUCUCCAUGAC